GAGUUGUUCGAUCAGUCGCUAGAGCCGUUGACUUUUAAUCAAUGGGGCGCAGGUUCGAAUCCUGUACGACCUGCCA
rnacentral:tRNA from 2 species